rnacentral:rRNA from 1 species
CCCUGCCCUUUGUACACACCGCCCGUCGCUACUACCGAUUGAAUGGCUCAGUGAGGCUUUCGGACUGGCCCGAGGAGGUUGGCAACGACCACCCCGGGCCGGAAACUUGUUCAAACUUGGUCAUUUAGAGG